rnacentral:sRNA from 1 species
GCCGAGCAGAGCGAGACAACAACGCGCCAGCGUUGACCCGAAGGGCGAGUCCAGAGGACGAGUCAUCCCGCACGACCCACCG